rnacentral:rRNA from 1 species
UACGUAGGGGGCAAGCGUUGUCCGGAAUCAUUGGGCGUAAAGCGCGUGUAGGCGGCUUCGUAAGCCCGUUGUGAAAGUCCAGGGCUCAACCCUGGAAUGCCGAUGGAUACUGCGGAGCUAGAGUCCGGAAGAGGCGAGUGGAAUUCCUGGUGUAGCGGUGAAAUGCGCAGAUAUCAGGAAGAACACCAAUGGCGAAAGCAGCUCUCUGGGACGGUACUGACGCUGAGACGCGAAAGCGUGGGGAGCGAACAGG